UCGAAUCGUAGGCGAGGGUUGUCGCUGGCCUCUCGGGGCAUGUGCACGCCCGAGCCCUUGAAUCCCAAACACACAUGUGAACCCACCGUAGGCCUUCGGGCCUAUGUCUUAUCAUAUAAUCCGAAUGUCUAAUAGAAUGUAAACCCAUUUCGUUGCCUUGAAAACGGCGUUGAUAAACUUAUA
rnacentral:misc_RNA from 1 species